GGGCCUGUGGUCUAGUGGUAUGACAUGCCCUUAGCAUUGUUUUAACUAUUAAAUUCUGCGAAUCUGGGCAAGGUCCGGCGUUCAAUUCGCCGCUGGUCCA